AUUGAACGCUGGCGGCAGGCCUAACACAUGCAAGUCGAACGGUAACAGGAAGCAGCUUGCUGCUUUGCUGACGAGUGGCGGACGGGUGAGUAAUGUCUGGGAAACUGCCCGAUGGAGGGGGAUAACUACUGGAAACGGUAGCUAAUACCGCAUAACGUCGCAAGACCAAAGAGGGGGACCUUAGGGCCUCUUGCCAUCGGAUGUGCCCAGAUGGGAUUAGCUAGUAGGUGGGGUAACGGCUCACCUAGGCGAGGAUCCCUAGCUGGUCUGAGAGGAUGCCCAGCCCACCUGGAACUGAGAACCGUGCCAGACCCCCAGGGGGGGCACCGGGGGGGAAUAUUGCCCAAGGGGGGGAACCCUGAUGCAGCCAGGCCGGUUUGAUGAAGAGGGCCUGGGGGUUGUAAAGUACUUUCAGGGGGGAGAAAGGGAGUAAAUUUAAAACCUGUGCUCUUUACCGUUACCCGAAAAAAAAGCACCGCUAAACUCCUG
rnacentral:rRNA from 1 species